rnacentral:rRNA from 1 species
UAGGGAAUCUUCCACAAUGGACGCAAGUCUGAUGGAGCAACGCCGCGUGAGUGAAGAAGGUUUUCGGAUCGUAAAGCUCUGUUGUUGGUGAAGAAGGAUAGAGGCAGUAACUGGUCUUUAUUUGACGGUAAUCAACCAGAAAGUCACGGCUAACUACGUGCCAGCAGCCGCGGUAAUACGUAGGUUGCAAGCGUUGUCCGGAUUUAUUGGGCGUAAAGCGAGCGCAGGCGGAAUGGUAAGUCUGAUGUGAAAGCCCACGGCUCAACCGUGGAACUGCAUCGGAAACUGUCAUUCUUGAGUGCAGAAGAGGAGAGUGGAAUUCCAUGUGUAGCGGUGGAAUGCGUAGAUAUAUGGAAGAACACCAGUGGCGAAGGCGGCUCUCUGGUCUGCAACUGACGCUGAGGCUCGAAAGCAUGGGUAGCGAACAGG